GAAGUGGAGGCUUCAGAGGUCACGCCAUCCAGAGCCCGUAUUCAGAAGGAGGGAGACUGGUGCUCAGGGAGACAAGUGGUGGGAUUCAGGGUCCCCCCCAGGGGACCCAGACCCUGGAAUCUUGCAGGCGGCGAGUGCCUUGGCGUUAUCCAUGGUACCUCCAACUAGAUUCUCUGGUGUCCUUGAGCUGCUUCCAACGGCAGAAGAUAGAAAUCUUCAUGUUGCAACAACUGUAUAUCCUGGAGCAAAUCCUACUCGAAAUACACCUGCCAGGAUUUUGAUUGGGAUUGCACCAAAUCUGGAUCAACCUGGAGACCAUCGGCGUCUUCACAACACUGAGCAGUCCAAACAAUGAACAUGGUAGGGCUCACCAUUUCUGAGUCUUUAUUGACUUUGAGCGCCGUUUCCAAGUUUUCUGAAUGCCUCAGAAUAACUUUGUUUUGCCUUUACUCAUAGACUUGUUUUGUUGAACAUAGAUUUCUAGGUUCAAGGUGAUCCUUUCUCAGAACUUUAAAGAUAUUGCUUCAUUAUUACCUGACAUCUUAGCACUUAGUGUCAGAAACAAGACAUCUAGGGGUGCCUGGGUGGCUCAGUUGGUUAUGUGUCCAACCCUUGA